rnacentral:rRNA from 1 species
GAUGAACGCUGGCGGCGUGCCUAACACAUGCAAGUCGAGCGGCAGCGCGGGGUGCUUGCACCCUGUCGGCGAGCGGCGGACGGCUGAGUAACGCGUGGGAACGUGCCCCAAAGUGAGGAAUAACUGCCCGAAAGGGUAGCUAAUACCGCAUAUUAUCUUCGGAUCAAAGGAUUUAUCCGCUUUGGGAGCGGCUCGCGUCGGAUUAGGUAGUUGGUGAGGUAAUGGCUCACCAAGCCGACGAUCCGUAGCUGGUCUGAGAGGAUGACCAGCCAGACUGGAACUGAGACACGGUCCAGACUCCUACGGGAGGCAGCAGUGAGGAAUCUUCCACAAUGGGCGAAAGCCUGAUGGAGCAACGCCGCGUGCAGGACGAAGGCCUUCGGGUUGUAAACUGCUUUUAUAAGUGAGGAAUAUGACGGUAACUGAUGAAUAAGGAUCGGCUAACUACGUG